GGCCCUCAAAAUGAUUGUGGAUCCUGUGGAGCCUCAUGGUGAGAUGAAGUUUCAGUGGGAUCUCAAUGCCUGGACCAAGAGUGCUGAAGCCUUUGGUAAGAUUGUGGCUGAGCGUCCUGGUACAAACUCCACGGGUCCUGGGCCCAUGGCUCCUCCAAGAGCCCCAGGCCCCCUAAGCAAGCAAGGUUCUGGUAGUAGCCAGGUGAGCUGGGUAGAGGAACCAAGGAGAGGGAAUGAGGGCCAUGGGGGUUUACUUAUAUCCCUGCUGAUGGUACAUGUUCUGUUCUUCUGUCUUUAGCCCAUGGAAGUACAAGAGGGCUAUGGCUUUGGGACAGGUAGGUAGCUUUGCCUAGGAAAUUGGGCUUGGUAAGUACCCUCCCUGUCUUUGUCUUUUCUGCCAACUCUUUUGUUUUCUGAGCAGAUGAUCCCUACUCAAGUGCAGAGCCACAUGUAUCAGGCAUGAAGCGGUAAGUAUGGCAACCCAUUGAAGUAGCAGGGGGUACAGGAUUGGUGUGGUAGGGAUGCAUGUGAGCUCAUGACAAGAUAUACUAAUAGGUCCCGCUCUGGUGAGGGAGAAGUAAGUGGCCUCAUGAGGAAGGUGCCACGUGUGAGCCUUGAACGCCUGGAUCUGGAUCUCACCUCUGAUAGCCAGCCACCAGUCUUCAAGGUCUUUCCUGGAAGCACCACUGAGGACUACAAUCUAAUUGUUAUUGAGCGUGGUGCUGCUGCAGCAGCCGCUGGCCAGGCUGGGACUGUGCCACCAG
rnacentral:lncRNA from 1 species